rnacentral:rRNA from 1 species
GUGUCAGCAGCCGCGGUAAUACGUAGGGGGCGAGCGUUGUCCGGAUUUACUGGGCGUAAAGAGCGCGUAGGCGGCUCGUUAAGUUGGCUGUGAAAGCCCCGGGCUUAACCUGGGGAGGUCGGCCGAGACUGGCGGGCUGGAGGGCGGUAGAGGAAGGUGGAAUUCCUGGUGUAGUGGUGAAAUGCGUAGAUAUCAGGAGGAACACCGGUGGCGAAGGCGGCCUUCUGGGCCGUACCUGACGCUGAGGCGCGAAGGCGUGGGUAGCGAACUGAAUUAGAUACUCAGGUAGUCCACGCAGUAAACGAUGGACGCUAGGUGUGGGGGGUAUCGACCCCUCCCGUGCCGAAGCUAACGCAUUAAGCGUCCCGCCUGGGGAGUACGGCCGCAAGGCUAAA